GUGCCAGCCGCCGCGGUAAUACGGAGGGUGCGAGCGUUAUCCGGAAUCACUGGGUUUAAAGGGUGCGUAGGCGGCCUGGUAAGUCAGGGGUGAAAGUCUGCCGCUUAACGGUAGAAUUGCCUUUGAUACUGUCAGGCUUGAAUGGGCGCGAGGCAGGCGGAAUGUGGCAUGUAGCGGUGAAAUGCAUAGAUAUGCCAUAGAACACCGAUUGCGAAGGCAGCUUGCCAGAGCUCGAUUGACGCUGAGGCACGAAAGCGUGGGGAGCAAACAGGAUUAGAUACCCUGGUAGUCCACGCCCUAAACGAUGCUUACUCGAUGUUCGGCCCAUGCGGUUGAGCGUCCAAGCGAAAGCGCUAAGUAAGCCACCUGGGGAGUACGCCGGCAACGGUGAAACUCAAAGGAAUUGACGGGG
rnacentral:rRNA from 1 species